GACGAACGCUGGCGGCGUGCUUAACACAUGCAAGUCGAACGGAAAGGCCCUGCUUUUGUGGGGUGCUCGAGUGGCGAACGGGUGAGUAGCACGUGAGUAACCUGCCCUUGACUUUGGGAUAACUUCAGGAAACUGGGGCUAAUACCGGAUAGGAGCUCCUGCUGCAUGGUGGGGGUUGGAAAGUUUCGGCGGUUGGGGAUGGACUCGCGACUUAUCAGCUUGUUGGUGGGGUAGUGGCUUACCAAGGCUUUGACGGGUAGCCGGCCUGAGAGGGUGACCGGCCACAUUGGGACUGAGAUACGGCCCAGACUCCUACGGGAGGCAGCAGUGGGGAAUACUGCACAAUGGGCGGAAGCCUGAUGCAGCAACGCCGCGUGCGGGAUGACGGCCUUCGGGUUGUAAACCGCUUUCGCCUGUGACGAAGCGUGAGUGACGGUAAUGGGUAAAGAAGCACCGGCUAACUACGUG
rnacentral:rRNA from 1 species